UGAAAAGUUCUUUUAACUGUUUCUUUGCUGCUGGAGGUUUCAGUAAAGAAGGUAAAGCAAAUAUGAAGCCUCCUGUCCUGCCAUAAAAUUAACAGUCAGGUCUGCUACGCCACAAUAGCUGUAUGAGACCGUUCGUCAACAGGUUGUAACAUGGCAUAAAAAAAUACUGUGCACAAAAUUGUAAAAUACAGGUUAAAUACAGGUUAUAGUGAGUUAGUGGAGACUAGCAUAGUGCAUGUUAGACAGAAUUAGCAGCUUAACGGUUGUGGUGAAAGUUGUAUGCACAGUGUAUGCUUAUGGCGAGUUAAUAAAGACAAAGUUAAAAAUAAACACAGUGAGUGAUAACCUAUAUAAACAGCGUAGGUAGUGAUUAAAGUAUAUGCACUCUGCAUGCUUAUGGUGAAGAAAAUAAAUCCCUAGGUGGCCCCCCAGGUACAUUGGUAGCGAGAUUUACAUUCAAAUGAAAAAGAGCAUCAGUUCCUGGCUGUUGAGCAUGUAGGCGUGAUAGGCUUGUUGGCAUUAUGUAUGUAGUGCUGGGGGUGUAAAGGGUUAACUCAGCCGAUACCCUGCUGGGGAAGCACAAAGUCUAGCUUCGAGUGUCCUGAUAUCAGGCUUUGUAGACCACCUGAUGGAAAGCAGUAGGCGAGAUUCUGUGAGGGAGCUGGUUUCAUGUGGGGAUCCCACCAGACCCGGGUUCUUGAUGACAGGUCCGUAGUUCUGGUAGCGGAGGUCAACGAGUCGAGUACGGGCAAGCGCUGCACCACUUGAGGUCUGCUUUAUGUUCUGCGGCGUUGUCUGUGUCCAGCGUGAGGAAAGGUUUCAAGCCUUCUGCGGCCGCUUGGUUCGACCUGGCUGGUUGCUGGGUGUGUGGAAGGUUUGCAGCCCACGAUUGCCUGUAAGCGGGAGAUGUUCCCCUCUACAGCGCCGUCUCAGUGCUUUCAGCAGUUGGGGGACUAUGUGGCGAUUGUCAGGCACCGUAGUAGCCCCUGCCUUGGCUCGGGGUGAGUCCCACUUGCGUGCCGCCUGCUGUCGGAAGAAUGUGCGCCUCCUGUGUUGCCGCCAUCUUAGGGCCUUCAUCUCCGCCGGGGCCGUAAAUGUCCGCCAUUGGGGCGCGAUCAGCUGUGGAGGUGAGUGUGCUUGCGGUUGCACUGGGACGGUCUGAUGCCU